GGGUGUGUUGCCUGCCGCUGCGUGUGACCUGAAAACUACAUCCACCACCACCACCACCCUUCCACCGAAUAACGGUGUACACUCGUCGGAAACUGUCACACUCCUCCCUGCUGCAAAGCUAAAACCCUUCGCAAAUGUUCCAAAUUCCAAGCCUACGCUGCUCAGGUACACAUCCAAUUAUCUAGCUUUUUAAUCAUCAAUUUGUCUGUUCCUAAUUUAUACAUCAUACUAAUCGCGUUAGGUUAGGUUUUCUAACUUUUCAUGAAGAAACUGCAGUAUUAGGGUUUGUAAUCAGUUAAGUUCAUCAAUCAUCACUGUCAACAUCAGUUUUUAAUUGAUAGAUAGAGUUGAUAGAUGAUUCAAUUAGGAACAAAUGAUAAGUUAUAGAAACAAUAAAACCAAUGGAAAACUUUUUUUUAUAUAAAUUUGAGUAUGAAAUUAUAAACUGGAAUGUGGAAAAAUUGAUACAUCUACAAAUUGGGGAAAGAACAACAUUAACAUUUAAAUGGUUUAGACAACUAGAUUGCUGUUAUGAUGAUUUUGUAUAUAUUAUUGUAGUGUUAACAUCGCGGCAAAUCUUUCGGUGGUUGUUGUAGUGACUCCAUAAGCCCGACCCCGUUAUCGACUACAAACACCAUAGCCAGACCCCAUCCGAUGUGCACGUCUAAGUGGCAGUGCAUAAUCCAUGUACCUGAAAACAUAAAAAUAUAAUUAAGCAACAUUUUUUUGAAAGUUUAAUGUAAAUCGUGUGUUAAACGUUAAUUUUCCGCUCUUUACCUGGAUUAUCCGCAACGAAUCUAAUGACUGCCCACCCGUUGACGGGUAAACUAACGGUGUUUCUUAGAGGUGGGUCCACAAGGUUGAAUUUCGAAGUGUCGGUUUUGGGAUUAAAGUUCCCGAACCCUUCUGCAACUACGUAGAAAUCGUAUCCAUGAAGAUGAAUCGGGUGGUUUUCAGCUGUGAAAAUACUCGUUCCCUGUAGCACCACCUGUACCUUAUCUCCGUAUUUCAGUUUAUAAACCUUGGUCCCACGCGUUGGUUGCCAGAGAGACCGGCUUACAUUACCGGUGUAGUCAAACGUCACCGGAGGCUUUGCUGGAAAAUCGGUGGUGAAAACUCCGGGAAUCCCAUUGUGGUGUGCUUGCAACAAUGAGAAGUUGGACGGCAGCACAAAAGACACGUUGUUCAUACUGGCGGUGAAGCGCGUGUUGUUUGGUGCUUGACAGGUACUCGCCUUGGCUUUCGGUGGGCAUUUGUUGAUUCCAAGGCCAGCGGUGAUGAAAAGAUUCUCGUCAACUGUUUUCGGAACUAAGGUUUUCCCCGGGCUUCUGAAGCUGGUGGUGAAGGCGGUGGCGGUGUUUGUGUCGUUAAAAGGCGGGAGGGUGGGCAUAGCUGGCUUAGAAGAGUUACUCUUAGCGGUCGUGUAUUCCAAAAUGGCGGUGGUGGUGGUGUUGUCAAAGGGUGCACCUUGUGCACUUGCGUAAGCGCGUGCUGCCAUGUAGUAUCGACCCGGUGUUUGGUCACCUUUUAUGAGUACAUCCGUGGUUUGACCCGGUCCAAGCAUUAAGACCGAGGUCGUGAACGGUUUCACGUAGGAAGCAUCAGCUCCCACAACUGUAAAUUUAUGGUUAGCGAUUUUGAAAAAUAGUUGCUGGUUUAAUGCUGCAUUAAUCACCCGCACGAGAAACAAACCUUUGCUAGAGCAGUUGUAAAGAUCACCAGGUUGACCGUUGAUGGUAUAUGCAUCGGAAACAUUUGGAGCUCCACCGGUUCUUCUCGCUUCGUUAAUAACAUCAAUAGGGUUCGCGUUCCACCAUUCACCUGAUCAUAACAUCACUAACUUCAGUUAGAUGACUCAAUUAUACAAUUAAGUUUUUAUUUUUAUCUAUUUUUUUUUAAUUAUGUAUAUACCAAGCAUGAUGACCGAAUCGCGGUUUGGUUUAGGGAACGGGUAAGAAUCGCCUUGUUUUGGGUGAAUGACAAUAGCACCAUAAACAGUUGCUCUAAGCCAUGAACUAUGUGCAUGCCACCAUAA